rnacentral:rRNA from 1 species
GGUGUUUGUAUAGUGUCUUGAGCAGCUGAUGCAGCCAUGCCGCGUGUAUGAAGAAGGCCUUCGGGUUGUAAAGUACUUUCAGCGGGGAGGAAGGGAGUAAAGUUAAUACCUUUGCUCAUUGACGUUACCCGCAGAAGAAGCACCGGCUAACUCCGUGCCAGCAGCCGCGGUAAUACGGAGGGUGCAAGCGUUAAUCGGAAUUACUGGGCGUAAAGCGCACGCAGGCGGUUUGUUAAGUCAGAUGUGAAAUCCCCGGGCUCAACCUGGGAACUGCAUCUGAUACUGGCAAGCUUGAGUCUCGUAGAGGGGGGUAGAAUUCCAGGUGUAGCGGUGAAAUGCGUAGAGAUCUGGAGGAAUACCGGUGGCGAAGGCGGCCCCCUGGACGAAGACUGACGCUCAGGUGCGAAAGCGUGGGGAGCAAACAGGAUUAGAUACCCCGGUAGUCUAA